AGAAUCUGCCUAGAGGUCGGGGACAACCAUUGGAAACGAUGGCUAAUACCGGAUAUGCCUUACGGGGUGAAAGAUUAAUUGCCUUUAGAAGAGCUCGCGUCUGAUUAGCUAGUUGGUGAGGUAAGAGCUCACCAAGGCAGCGAUCAGUAGCUGGUCUGAGAGGAUGACCAGCCACACUGGGACUGAGACACGGCCCAGACUCCUACGGGAGGCAGCAGUGGGGAAUUUUCCGCAAUGGGCGAAAGCCUGACGGAGCAAGACCGCGUGAGGGAGGAAGGCUCUUGGGUUGUAAACCUCUUUUGUCAGGGAAGAACAAAAUGACGGUACCUGACGAAUCAGCAUCGGCUAACUCCGUGCCAGCAGCCGCGGUAAUACGGAGGAUGCAAGCGUUAUCCGGAAUUAUUGGGCGUAAGGCGUCCGCAGGUGGCUGAUCAAGUCUGCGGUCAAAGACCGGGGCUUAACCCUGGAAAGGCCGUGGAAACUGAUAGAGCUAGAGUACCGUAGGGGUAGAGGGAAUUCCCGGUGUAGCGGUGAAAUGCGUAGAGAUCGGGAAGAACAUCGGUGGCGAAAGCGCUCUACUGGACGGUGACUGACACUCAGGGACGAAAGCUAGGGGAGCGA
rnacentral:rRNA from 1 species